ensembl:lncRNA
CGGGAGGGAGAUUUUUAUUUACAUGCCUUUGUAUAUGUUUGAAUUUGAAUGAUUGAAUGUAUUUUUUGUUUUAAAAAUAAAAAUAAGGAUAAAUUUAAAAAUUGACAGAGGGACUAGCCAAAAAAAAAAAAAAAAAGCUAUACAAAGUAGGAUAGAGCCAUAGCUCUGUGUCAGCGCCUCUGAGACCCGGAAGCAGGUUAUCCAAACGUAGAACGAACGAUCUCAUGUGAACAGUGGACUCACAGUAGUGAGCAAAUCAAUCUUCAUUGUGUUAUUCCUUGUUGAAAUCCAACAGCAUUAUUAGGAAGUGUACUGUUACCAGAAUGGGUAAAGUUGACUGUCGAGAAAUGUAUGACCAAACCAUAGUCUUGUUUUCUGUGGUACAGGUUACUCUUUUGUCUUCCUCCCUGCCCUGUGAAACCUUCCACAAUGCUCUGAUCCCUGUGUCUGUUCCCUUCUCUGCACCCCUGUCACUUCUGUGAUGACAUUUAGCAACUAAGCACGCAUGGAUCCUGGGCUGAGAUGGAUUUCUUUUUCCUACCACUUAGAUUUCAAGUGUGUAUUCUGCUCUAGGUAUGGUACUAUAACUGGCCGUUACGUACAUUAUUUUAUCUACAGAACUCAAUUACAAAACCACUUUACAAACAAGGAAACUGAGGCUUCCAGACAUUCCGUGACAGUCGCAACAGCCAGAAAGAGGCAGAGUUGGGAUUUGAACCCAGGUCAACUGACCCCACAGCUUGGGUUACUCCUAUUUGAGAACAGAGGCACAAGUGCUUGAGCCGAGGAGGAGGUGGCGGUGAUAUUCCCUCUGAGGACCAGCCCUGUCCCCUGUCCUCACUGCCUCGGGACCCGGCCGUGAUCGAGGCCUGGGAAGUAAGUGCAGGAGGACUGUGCUUGGAGAACAGGACCUCUGGGACUCGCCAGGUUUGUGAAUCACACUAAAUUUCAUCUUAUGAAAGAAACGAAAGGCCAAGACUCUGCGUUCGCACCACCAGCACAAGCAGUGGGCCUUCUUGUGAGGGCUGUUUUCCACAAAGACAGACCUGUGUUCUGGUUCCAGGAGAACAGAAGUGUCGGCUGCAGGAGGACCGGCUCUGCUCAGCUGCGGGCCUGCUUCCACGCAGCCCGCCCAAUUCAAAUCAGCACCUGGGCAGCAGGACCCACGGUCACACGUCACUCCCUACCCAGCCCUUUGUGAUCAGCCAUCGUUUUGACUGUCAAAUCCACAUAUGCCAGGUUGCUGCUGUGUGUUCUCCCUAAACACAACUGGCAGAGUUUGAAAGGCACAAGCUGAGCUCCAGGAAUCAAGAGGAAAGCUGGCCUCCGAGUGGAUGGCCAAGGGGGUCUCACAGGUCAAGACCAGGAACUCACCAUCAUGGAAGCUGUUGGGAGUCUGAAGCCCUAAAUAAGAUGAACAAGUCACCAGUUGCCAUGCUGUUUCUUUCACUCCUUCAAUACGAAAAUUUUGAAUGGAGCCAGACCACAUGCCUUCUGACCAGCACAUCCUCUCUCCUUUACUCUGUGGGAAACCAAAUCAUCAUCAAAAGAUUGCUGUGAAAAAGGUAGUUACCCCAACAUCAACACACCUUUGAGUCACUUACCUUCGAAAACUUGAUGAAGCCAUUGGUACAAUAGAGAUAUCCUGGAUGCUUAUUCAUUUGUUUGAACAAAUAUUUACUGAAUGCCUAUUUUCCAGGCACUGUUCUAGGCACUGGGAAUACAGCAGUUAACAAAAACCAUCCAAAAUCCCUGUGCUCAUGAAUUUACAUUCUAGUGGGGGAGACAUAAUAAUCAAAUGUAUUAGUGAAAUAUAGGAUAUUUAGAUGUUUAUAAGUGGCAUGGAGAAAGAAAAAGUGGGGUUGGGAAUGAGUCGUGAGAGGUGGGAGAAUUUGUUAUUUUAAAUAUGGGUGGUCAGGACAGACCUCCCAACCUGAAACAAAGACCUGAAGGACUUGAGAGUGAGCCCUGUGGAUACGCAGGGGAAGAACAUUCCAGAGCAUCAACAGGGCCUCUCACUGUUGUGGCCUCUCCCGUUGCGGAGCACAGGCUCUGGACGCGCAGGCUCAGCGGCCAUGGCUCACGGGCCCAGCCGCUCCGCGGCAUGUGGGAUCUUCCUGGACCGGGACACGAACCCGUGUCCCCUGCAUCGGCAGGCGGACUCCCAACCACUGCGCCACCAGGGAAGCCCUGUUGGGAGGACUUUGGCUUUUACUCUGAGUGAGAUGGGAGCCAAUGAAGGGUUUGAGGGGAAGAGAGCAUGAUCCGCCUCAUGUUUUGACAGGGUAACUUAGCUGCUCGCUGGGGCCAGCAAAAGCAGAAGCAGAGAGGCCAGUUAGGAGGCUUUGUGAUAAUCCAGACACACUGGGGGCCACAGUAAAGUGGAGGCAGCGGAGGCUGAGGACAGUUGGGUUGAGUCUCCUGACCAGGGCGCCACAUCCCCAGUACAGAGCUUAGCAAGCCCAGGAACAGUGUCUUCCUUGUUUCCUAUGCCCCCAUAUGGCGGAUGACGACCCCUCCUAAUUAGAUAACUGCUUACUCUAUAAUUUCACCAUCUGCCUUGCUCUGAUUUCAGGACCGUUCAUUCUCCUUAGCAUGGCUCUUCUAUUAAGCAUUGAUUUUGUAACUCAGCUCUCAGAGAACACUCUUAUUUAAGUCCCUAGGGGCCCCUCCAUCACUGUCCCCAGGUAUAAGAACCUGACUAGAGGUCUGACACAGAAAAUUGACUUCCAUGAUUCUGGGUGCAUGCAUCUGUAUUACAGCAGUAGGUUGGCUAUCCUGGUCACGGCCUGAGAAUCUUGUCUCUUUCUUGGUACCGUGCUGUCUGCCUGGUCACCAUGGUGGCUACCUCUGACCACUGCUGGUGUCUCCAACAUAGGGGUUGAGGACCCAGCGCUUGCCUCUCCAUCUACCCUGGGGAUCUCCUAACUGCCUGGUCAGGAUGCUGUCUACAUGAUAUUUGCAAACUGAAUUGACAAACUUUAACAGACUGUUCACAAUUCUUUUGGAUUCCUUCCCACUAUGCAACUAUGUGCAAACACUAGAUGCAUUGCUCUUCAUGUUUGGGCCUGCACCGUGCUCUGUGUUCUGCCCACUGGGUGCCCAGGGUGCCCCUGCAGUACCACUGUCUGUCCUUGGUGAGCCUUUUUACUGAAGCUUCCUUUGGCUCCCAUUUGUUCCUUUGUCUUUUGUUUUCGUUUUUUACCAUUGUUUGUCUUUUAAUAAAUAUCUGUAAAUGAGUUGAU